UGCAAGGGAGCCAGUGGUUUGGGCAUUGGACUACGACUCUGGAGACUAGGGUUCAAUUCCCAGCUUGGCCA